rnacentral:misc_RNA from 1 species
GAUGAAGAACGUAGCGAAAUGCGAUAAGUAAUGUGAAUUGCAGAAUUCAGUGAAUCAUCGAAUUUUUGAACGCACAUUGCGCCCGCCAGUAUUCUGGCGGGCAUGCCUGUUCGAGCGUCAUUUCAACCAUCAAGCCCCCGGCUUGUGUUGGGGACCUGCGGCUGCCGCAGGCCCUGAAAACCAGUGGCGGGCUCGCUAGUCACUCCGAGCGUAGUAAUACAUCUCGCUCAGGGCGUGCUGCGGGUUCCGGCCGUUAAAAAGCCUUAUUUACCCAAGGUUGACCUCGGAUCAGGUAGGAAGACCCGCUGAACUUAAGCAUAUCAAUAAGCGGAGGA